rnacentral:tRNA from 1 species
GGUAAUGAGGCUCAGGGAUAGAGUGCUUGCCUCACAUGCAUGAAGCCCUGGGUUCGAUUCCUCAGUACCC